GUGCAGCAGGCGCGAAUACUUUACAAUGUGCGAAAGCACGAUAAGGGAACUCUGAGUGCCUCCUAAGGAGGCUGUUCAGGUGUCUAAAAAGCACCUGGAGUAAGGGCUGGGUAAGACCGGUGCCAGCCGCCGCGGUAACACCGGCAGCCCAGGUGGUAGCCACUUUUAUUGGGUCUAAAGCGUCCGUAGCCGGUUGAGUAAGUUCCUUGGGAAAUUUGGCUGCUCAACAGUCAAGCUUCCAGGGAAUACUGCUCGACUUGGGACUGGGAGAGGUCAGAGGUACUCCAGGGGUAGGGGUGAAAUCCAUUAAUCCCGUGGGGGACCACCGGUAGCGAAGGCGUCUGACCAGACCAGGUCCGACGGUGAGGGACGAAGGCUAGGGUCGCGAACCGGAUUAGACUACCCCGUAGU
rnacentral:rRNA from 1 species